UGGGGAAUAUUGCACAAUGGAGGGAACUCUGAUGCAGCGACGCCGCGUGAUUUAGAAGGCCUUCGGGUUGUAAAAAUCUUUUCUAUGGGAAGAAAAUGACAGUACCAUAGGAAUAAGGACCGGCUAAUUACGUGCCAGCAGCCGCGGUAAUACGUAGGGCGCAAGCGUUAUCCGGAAUUAUUGGGCGUAAAGAGCUUGUAGGCGGUUCGUCGCGUCUGGUGUGAAAGCCCAUCGCUUAACGGUGGGUUUGCGCCGGGUACGGGCGGGCUAGAGUGCAGUAGGGGAGACUGGAAUUCUCGGUGUAACGGUGGAAUGUGUAGAUAUCGGGAAGAACACCAAUGGCGAAGGCAGGUCUCUGGGCUGUUACUGACGCUGAGAAGCGAAAGCGUGGGGAGCGAACAGG
rnacentral:rRNA from 1 species